rnacentral:misc_RNA from 1 species
CUGGAAGCGCCGCAAGGCGCACCCAGAAACCCUUUGUGAACUUAUACCUAUAUCGUUGCCUCGGCGCUGGCUGCCCCUCCCCUAGCGGGAGGGGGCCCUCCCCCUGUGGGAGAGGACAGCAGGCCCGCCGGCGGCCCAUUAAACUCUUGUUUUUACUGAGUAACUUCUGAGUAAAGCUUCUAAAUGAAUCA